rnacentral:rRNA from 1 species
AUGUAAAAAGACAUUUAUAUAAAAGAAAGACGAUWAGACCCUAUUGAACUUAACUGUAGUUAAACUGGGSCAGUAAAUUAAUUAUUAUUUUAAUAAAACUUAUUAUAUAAAUAUCUUUUAAAAUUAAAUAAUUCAGUUACCAUAGGGAUAACAGCGUAAUAAUUUUCUAAAGCUCUUAUUUAAAAUAUAGAUUACGACCUCGAUGUUGAAUUAAUAACCUAACUAAGGCAAAACUUAGAAUAGGAAGUCUGUUCGACUUUUAAAAAAUUACAUGAUUUGAGUUCAGACCGGUGUAAGCCAGGUCGGUUUCUAUCUUCUAGAAAAAUUUUUACAGUACGAAAGGACCUAAGAAUUUAAUA